rnacentral:misc_RNA from 1 species
UUUCCGUAGGUGAACCUGCGGAAGGAUCAUUAUUGUAUAACCGAGGUGCGAGGGCUGUCGCUGACCCGAAAGGUCGUGCACGCCCGAGUGCCCUCACACACAUCCAACUCACCCCUAUGUCCACCACCGCGUGGGUCCCCCUUUGGCUUGUUCGGAGGGGGGCUUACGUUUUCACACAAACUUUGUAUGCAGUGUAGAAUGUAUUUUUUGUUUUUGCGAUCACGCAAUCAAUACAACUUUCAACAACGGAUCUCUUGGCUCUC